GGAGGUCACCAUGUUUUAGUUGCAUGGUUGUACUUUCACGUUGCUGCGGCAAGAUAAAUUGUAUUUGAAUGCAUGCGGUUAAUGCAUCAAGCAAAUAACCCGUCAGAAGCGCCAGAUCUGCAGGCGCAGGGCCUCCAGGCCGAGGACGGAUCACCGGAUUGAGCAUGUGUCUGAACGGCGGGUGCAGCCUGAAAGAUGAUGACAGCGGAGACCAUGACCAGGACAACAGCUCACCGAAUGACGGGGAGAAGGAAAGAAAUGACGAAGAUGACAAGGAUUCAAACACUGCCAAGAGAAAGGCAGUGGUCCCAGGGGCUGGUGAGCACCCUCUUCAGUACAACUACACGUUCUGGUAUUCUCGUCGCACACCGGGACGACCAGCCAGCACACAGAGCUACGAACAGAACAUCAAACAGAUUGGCAGCUUUGCUUCGGUGGAGCAGUUCUGGCGUUUUUAUAGUCACAUGAUCAGACCAGGUGAUCUGACUGGCCACAGCGAUUUCCACCUGUUUAAGGAAGGAAUCAAGCCCAUGUGGGAGGAUGAUGCUAAUAAGAGUGGAGGUAAGUGGAUCAUUCGGCUGCGUAAAGGCCUGGCAUCACGUUGCUGGGAAAAUCUGAUCUUGGCAAUGCUGGGGGAGCAGUUCAUGGUGGGCGAGGAGAUCUGUGGGGCCGUUGUGUCUGUUCGUUUCCAGGGAAUUCCAAAGGGUUCUUAUACAUCAUCUUGCUACUGUACAUUCAUCUUCUAAACUCUGUGGGAUGAUGCUCACGGAGAUGGUUUUUCGGGUUUGGAGUGUUCACUGCUUGAGAUAACACUUUAUUAGACACAGUUUAUAAACUGGGUAUCCAUCGUCAACAUUUUACCCAAAGUAUUCCUACAUUGUGGACUUCAACCGCACCAUACAAGAGCGGGAAAUAGAGUUUCAGGCUCCGGUGCUGCGCUCUCUGAAUGAAAGUCAGGUUUGUAAUGCUGUAAAUGUAGCCGAUUGUUUCUUAAUUGGACUUCUGUUUACAAUAGAAUGUUUGUUCCCUCGGGAGAUUUUUUUUGUUGCAAAAAACAACACCAAAGCGUUCAACUCUGGUUAUAUUAAGCAUGAGUAGCAUUCAUGGAACUAUUGGCUAAAGCAUUUCAUCCAGUAACUGUUUAGACAGACGCGUUUUCAUGCUAAAAAAUCCAAACGCACCACAACGAAUAGAGCCAAACCCAGGUGUCUCGAGACGCGUUUUUAUCAGUUGAAGAAGUUCUUUUUAAUGUCACACAGCAUCUAAAAAUGCAGCGCUCCCAUGAGAGAUGCUAAAAACACAGUGAAACGUGACGCAGUUGUCAAAAGACAUCUAUCUAGUGAAUGUUUAUAUGGAAAACAGCAGGAGCGGACGCAAAAACACAUUCAGUUUGAACAGCCCCUUGUUCACAUGCCACAGCACUAGCUGAAGUUUCUCAAAGUUACAUCUCAAAAAGACAGCCUUUUGUUUCAGUUGACUGUAGGUAAAUUUACACUGUAUCAGCGCUGUAUUCGUAAAUAUCCCAAUACUGUUUUACUGUGUGAGAAACCGCUCCAAAUGAUUCAGUGAGAGUGCGCUAUGAACGAAUUGUACUGAAUCACGAAUCGAUUCAGACAGUUUUGCAAGCCCGUUUGGCCAAUUCACUGAAAAGAACUGACUCAAAUAAUUAUUCGUUCACAAAUUGGGCAUUGCUAGUUCUUUUAAACAGCCAACAGAAAUACGGGAUACAUUUCAUGAUUGGUGAAAUAUUCUGAGAUUAAAUGUUUCUCAGGUCAAUCGGAGCGCUACAGCUGUAGGUGCCACUGACUGUUACAUCUCUUGUCUGCAUACAAACUUUCUCCUUUGCAUGAUAAAUACGUCAUCACUACAACACACACCAUUCACGGUAUCGGCUCUGCCUUCAUACAGACACAUUCCGGGAUUGAUCCCAGUAAUAUUACCAGGGUCUGAUCCCAGGAACACAUUUUCUGGCAUUCAGGCUCUGGCUUGUGUUCACACAGAAGGCUCCUCUGCAAUUAUCCCGGGAACAUCUCAGGAUCAGAGCCCAGUGUGAAUGAGGUUAUCGAGUCUCAGAGCCUGAAAUUAGUUUUAAGGCGUUAUCUAAAAAAAAUCAUUUUAUUUAUUUAGCUGUGGAUGUGCCAAUGAUAUUCCUUCUUUAUUUAAAAAAAUUAUCAAAUCUGUGCUUUUGUUUUAAGGAGGAUAUCAUUUCUAUCUGGAAUAAGACAGCCAGUGACCAGGCUACCACUGCACGCAUUAGAGAUACUUUACGCAGAGUCCUCAAUCUGCCUCCAAAUACCAUUAUGGAGUAUAAAACACACACCGACAGCAUCAAAGCUUGGGAGGA